GACGAACGCUGGCGGCGUGCUUAACACAUGCCAGUCGAACAGAAAGGCCCUGCUUUUGUGGGGUGCUCGAGUGGCGAACGGGUGAGUAACACGUGAGUAACCUGCCCUUGACUUUGGGAUAACUUCAGGAAACUGGGGCUAAUACCGGAUAGGAGCUCCUGCUGCAUGGUGGGGGUUGGAAAGUUUCGGCGGUUGGGGAUGGACUCGCGGCUUAUCAGCUUGUUGGUGGGGUAGUGGCUUACCAAGGCUUUGACGGGUAGCCGGCCUGAGAGGGUGACCGGCCACAUUGGGACUGAGAUACGGCCCAGACUCCUACGGGAGGCAGCAGUGGGGAAUAUUGCACAAUGGGCGGAAGCCUGAUGCAGCAACGCCGCGUGCGGGAUGACGGCCUUCGGGUUGUAAACCGCUUUCGCCUGUGACGAAGCGGGAGUGACGGUAAUGGGUAAAGAAGCACCGGCUAACUACGUG
rnacentral:rRNA from 1 species